CCUACGGGAGGCAGCAGUGAGGAAUAUUGGUCAAUGGGCGGAAGCCUGAACCAGCCAUGCCGCGUGAAGGAAUAAGGUCCUAUGGAUCGUAAACUUCUUUUGAGCGGGAGCAAUAAGGUCUACGAGUAGACCGAUGAGAGUACCGUUCGAAUAAGCAUCGGCUAACUCCGUGCCAGCAGCCGCGGUAAUACGGAGGAUGCAAGCGUUAUCCGGAUUUAUUGGGUUUAAAGGGUGCGUAGGCCGUUGUGCAAGUCAGAGGUGAAAUCGCGGGGCUCAACCCCGUGUCUGCCUUUGAUACUGUAUGACUUGAAUGUUGUUGCCGUGGGAGGAAUGAGUAGUGUAGCGGUGAAAUGCAUAGAUAUUACUCAGAACACCGAUUGCGAAGGCAUCUCACGAAACAAUUA
rnacentral:rRNA from 1 species